rnacentral:rRNA from 1 species
AUACGUAGGGGGCGAGCGUUGUCCGGAUUUAUUGGGCGUAAAGGGUUCGCAGGCGGCCAAAUAAGUCAGAUGUGAAAGCCCACGGCUUAACCGUGGUAAGCAUUUGAAACUGUAUGGCUUGAGUUAAGGAGAGGAAAGUGGAAUUCCUAGUGUAGCGGUGAAAUGCGUAGAUAUUAGGAAGAAUACCAGUGGCGAAGGCGACUUUCUGGACUUAUACUGACGCUGAGGAACGAAAGCGUGGGGAGCAAACAGGAUUAGAUACCCUGGUAGUCCACGCCGUAAACGAUGAGCGCUAGGUGUCGGGUGUCAAAGCUCGGUGCCGCAGCUAACGCAUUAAGCGCUCCGCCUGGGGAGUACGUACGCAAGUAUGAA